AGUGUGCACAGCUUAAAGGACCACUAUAGUGCCAGGAAAACAUACUCGUUUUCCUGGCACUAUAGUGCCCUGAGGGUGCCCCCACCCUCAGGGACCCCCUCCCGCCCGGCUCUGGAAGGGGAAAGGGGUAAAAACUUACCUUUUUCCAGCGCUGGGCGGAGAGCUCUCCUCCUCCUCUCCGCCUCCGUUACGCCCCGCCGGCUGAAUGCGCACGCGCGGCAAGAGCUGCGCGCG